rnacentral:rRNA from 1 species
GACAGAGGGUGCAAACGUUGCUCGGAAUUACUGGGCGUAAAGCGCGUGUAGGUGGAUUGGUGUGUCAGAUGUGAAAUCCCUGGGCUCAACCCAGGAACUGCACCUGAAACUACCAGUCUUGAGUGGUGGAGAGGGAAGUGGAAUUCCUGGUGUAGAGGUGAAAUUCGUAGAUAUCAGGAGGAACACCAGUGGCGAAGGCGGCUUCCUGGACACCAACUGACGCUGAGACGCGAAAGCGUGGGGGAGCAAACAGG